UUCCUACGGGAGGCAGCAGUGGGGAAUAUUGCACAAUGGGGGAAACCCUGAUGCAGCGACGCCGCGUGAGUGAGGAAGUAUUUCGGUAUGUAAAGCUCUAUCAGCAGGGAAGAAAAAAUGACGGUACCUGACUAAGAAGCACCGGCUAAAUACGUGCCAGCAGCCGCGGUAAUACGUAUGGUGCAAGCGUUAUCCGGAUUUACUGGGUGUAAAGGGAGCGUAGACGGCAUGGCAAGUCUGAAGUGAAAGCCCGGGGCUCAACCGCGGGACUGCUUUGGAAACUGUUAAGCUGGAGUGCAGGAGAG
rnacentral:rRNA from 1 species